rnacentral:rRNA from 1 species
CCUACGGGUGGCAGCAGUGGGGAAUAUUGGGCAAUGGGCGCAAGCCUGACCCAGCAACGCCGCGUGAAGGAAGAAGGCUUUCGGGAUGUAAACUUCUUUUCUCAGGGACGAAGAAAGCGACGGUAGCUGAGGAAUAAGCCACGGCUAACUACGUGCCAGCAGCCGCGGUAAGACGUAGAUGGCAAGCGUUAUCCGGAUUUAUUGGGUGUAAAGGGUGUGUAGGCGGGAGCGACAGUCAGAUGUGAAAACUCAUGGCUCAACCCUGGGCCUGCAUUUGAAACUGUGUUUCUUGAGUGCUGGAGAGGCAAGCGGAAUUCCGUGUGUAGCGGUGAAAUGCGUAGAUAUACGGAGGAACACCAGUGGCGAAGGCGGAUUGCUGGACAGUAACUGACGCUGAGGCGCGAAAGCGUGGGGAGCAAACAGGAUUAGAUACCCGUGUAGUC